rnacentral:rRNA from 1 species
GUGUGACUGCGUACCUUUUGUAUAAUGGGUCAGCGACUUAUAUUCUGUAGCAAGGUUAACCGAAUAGGGGAGCCGGAGGGAAACCGAGUCUUAAUUGGGCGUUAAGUUGCAGGGUAUAGACCCGAAACCCGGUGAUCUAGCCAUGGGCAGGUUGAAGGUUGGGUAACACUAACUGGAGGACCGAACCGACUAAUGUUGAAAAAUUAGCGGAUGACCUGUGGCUGGGGGUGAAAGGCCAAUCAAACCGGGAGAUA